rnacentral:rRNA from 1 species
GAUGAACGCUGGCGGCGUGCUUAACACAUGCAAGUCGAACGGGAAAUACUUUAUUGAAACUUCGGUCGAUUUAAUUUAUUUCUAGUGGCGGACGGGUGAGUAACGCGUGGGUAACCUGCCUUAUACUGGGGGAUAACAGCCAGAAAUGGCUGCUAAUACCGCAUAAGCGCACAGAACCGCAUGGUUCCGUGUGAAAAACUCCGGUGGUAUAAGAUGGACCCGCGUUGGAUUAGCUGGUUGGCAGGGCAGCGGCCUACCAAGGCGACGAUCCAUAGCCGGCCUGAGAGGGUGAACGGCCACAUUGGGACUGAGACACGGCCCAGACUCCUACGGGAGGCAGCAGUGGGGAAUAUUGCACAAUGGGGGAAACCCUGAUGCAGCGACGCCGCGUGAAGGAAGAAGUAUCUCGGUAUGUAAACUUCUAUCAGCAGGGAAGAUAAUGACGG